rnacentral:rRNA from 1 species
GACGAACGCUGGCGGCGUGCUUAACACAUGCAAGUCGAACGGAAAGGCCCCCACCUUGGUGGGGGUGCUCGAGUGGCGAACGGGUGAGUAACACGUGGGUGAUCUGCCCUGUACUUCGGGAUAAGCUUGGGAAACUGGGUCUAAUACCGGAUAGGACCAUGGUUUAGUGUCUCAUGGUGGAAAAAUUAUUGUUUUGGUGCAGGAUGAGCUCGCGGCCUAUCAGCUUGUUGGUGGGGUAAUGGCCUACCAAGGCGUCGACGGGUAGCCGGCCUGAGAGGGUGGACGGCCACAUUGGGACAGAGAUACGGCCCAGACUCCGACGGGAGGAAGCAGUGGGGAAUAUUGCACAAUGGGCGCAAGCCUGAUGCAGCGACGCCGCGUGGGGGAGGACGGCCUUCGGGUUGUAAACUCCUUUCGUUAGGGACGAAGCCACACCUUUUUUGGGUGUGGUGACGGUACCUUUGUUAAGAAGCACCGGCUAACUACGUG